AUAAAAAAAAAAAUUAUAAUUUAGUGAAAAAUAAAAGUGGAAAAGAUGAUUUUGAAGACAAUGAAGUAAAAAUAAAAAUUAUUAAAAAAAAAAAAAAUACUUUUAAUAAAAGAAAAACAACAGCAACUUCAUCACUAACAAGAACAUCAAUAAAUGACAAAAAAAAAUAUUCUUGGAUAGACAACGUUAAAGAAUUAAGUUUAGAAGGAUGGAUAAAAUGUGAAUUAGCAGGAUGUCUAGAAGCAGUUAUAUUUAUACAUGGUUAUAAUACAAAUCAUUUGGAAGCCUUACAAAUAUUAGGUCAAAUGGCUUCUUUUGGUAAUUUUCCUAAUUAUAUAAAAUUGUUUUUAUUUAAUUGGCCAUCUGGAGCUAGUUUUUUACAAUUUUUUGUAGCAAGAGAUAAUUCAAAAAACACGAAAGUACAUUUGGCCUUAAAAACUUUCUUAAGCACGUUGCGGAGUAAUGGUAUAAGACAAAUCCAUAUAAUCACACAUAGUAUGGGUACACGGACAUUUUUACUCUCUUUCCAUGAUAUUGUAAAAAGCAACUUGUUUUCAACCAUAGACGAAGAAGAUAACUCUUCAAGUAAUCUAACAAAAAUGAAAUUGAUAACACUAACUAUGAUGAAUCCUGAAUAUAAUCUAAGUGACUUUGUAAAUAAAGAAUAUAUUUUUCUUCGAUCUUACUGUACUGUUAUAUCUAUAUUUUGCGAUUCAAAUGAUAAAGCAUUAAGAUGGGCAGAGAUAUUUAGUGGUAAUAAAUCGUUAGGUAAAAAUGUAUUUGAUUUAAAUAUAUGUAAAAAUGAAGAUUAUUAUGCAAAAAAAAUACAGGGGUAUGAUAAUUUUGGUUUUGAUAGUAAUAAACUAGAUUGUUGUACCAUACAAAUUGAUAACAAAACUGAUAAAAGUGAUGCUCUUAUACGUGUAGAUUCACAAAUAAAUACAUCCUUUUUUAAUGAAAAAAAUUUUAACAUAUUAAAAAACUAUUAUGAUGAAGAAUAUGAUGAUGAUAAUUAUAAAUAUAAAACUUGUGUAUCUCAAGUUAUUAAUAAAUUAACAAAAUUUGUAUUUUUUUUUACACGUCGGAAAAAUAAAAAUAAUUUAAGUAAUGCAAAUAUA
rnacentral:lncRNA from 1 species